GUAAAACCUCAAGCUCUCCCCCUAGUGAGUCACUUCCUCCAGUGAGGCCUCUCAUCUGAAGAUUUUAGAGCCUGCCCAAACAGCCUCAGUGUUCUUUCAAACCCAUGAGCUUGUGGGAGAGAUUUCACAUUCAAACCACCACAGACUGUCAGCAGUUAAGCGGAGAAGAGCUUAGCCAUCAAUUUGAAGUCACAAGUUGAAGACAGAGAAUUCCAGAUCCUGACAGUGACCCAAGGUCUCUAAAGAAGAUUAUGGGGAUCCAUAGAUUGUGACAACACUGACCAGUGAGCAUGAUGCUCAGAUGCUACACCUACUACUUCCAGGCAGGACCGGGCUCAGACUGUGGACAGGCUACAGGACACUGGAGAAUUGAUUGCACCACCUUUGCCUAGACAAAAUAAGAUUUCCACUUCUGGUAGAAGAAUAUCAGUUGCUGACUACAGCCUGCUCCUAAAGACUUCAAGCCCUAGACUUGCUGUGGAUGUGAACCAGUCCAGCUGAUAUGGACACCACCUAUCUCUGCAACAGAGUCUGCCACCCAGAAGCUCCUAAUGAAUUCCCUGUAGGGGAAGCUGUAGCCACGUCUACUUAGGGGCUGGCUACAGGUGCCUGACCACGCUUUCGAGGGCGUGGUCAGGGUGAUGUAGUGUGACUGUGUUUUCUCUUUCGCUCUCUCUUUUGGGCUUGUGUACAGACCGCUGCCACGCCGGCUGACUAUGUCACUCUGUAAGUGAGGCUUUUCCCUAUUAAAUACCCUUAUAUUUCUACCUG
rnacentral:lncRNA from 1 species